rnacentral:rRNA from 1 species
GGGAAGAAGAUCUGACGGUACCUGAGGAAUAAGCAUCGGCUAACUCCGUGCCAGCAGCCGCGGUAAUACGGAGGAUGCAAGCGUUAUCCGGAAUUAUUGGGCGUAAAGCGUCCGCAGGUGGUCUUUCAAGUCUGCUGUCAAAGACCAGAGCUUAACUCUGGGCAGGCGGUGGAAACUGAGAGACUAGAGUUCGGUAGGGGUAGUGGGAAUUCCCAGUGUAGCGGUGAAAUGCGUAGAUAUUGGGAAGAACAUCGGUGGCGAAGGCGUGCUACUGGACCGAAACUGACACUCAGGGACGAAAGCUAGGGUAG